AGCUCUCCUAACAGCAGUUCUACAGUCUGCCAGACACAGCUGUUCCCAUAGAAUUGUUCUCCAAUUUACAACAAUGACCUCUGCUCUCUUCUCCCUGAUGGUUGUAUACAGCCUCAUCAUUUCUUGUCAGGGUCGUCCUUUCAUCAUUUCCAGAAAUAAAGUUGAUUUGACUAAGCCACCUGAUGAGAUUGUUAUUGAGCCACCACCAAUAAAUAUAAUUGUGCUCUCAAUUCACUCUGUCUACAAUUUCAAUGGUGAUCAAAGGAGAUGAGAUGAAAGAAGACCAUGAUGGAGUCUCUAUUGCACUAUUGUAUACAUUUUAAGACAUCGAGAGCUAAGUGAUCAAGAUAAUGUCACACUCCUGAGAAUUACCUAUGUUCUACAAUAAAUGAUUUCUGCUACUUCCCACAACUAGUAUUUCUACUUAUCCUUAAAUGAAAAUACAGAAUGAUUAUUAAGGGUC